CUAGCGACUUCAGAGUUUGAUCCUGGCUCAGGACGAACGCUGGCGGCAUGCCUAACACAUGCAAGUCGAACGGAGCCAUGGAAAGAUUCCUUCGGGAUGAUUUUCCGGAAGCUUAGUGGCGGACGGGUGAGUAACGCGUGAGUAACCUGCCCUUGAGAGGGGAAUAACACACCGAAAGGUGUGCUAAUACCGCAUAACAUAUUGAAGUCGCAUGGCUUUAAUAUCAAAGAUUUAUCGCUCAAGGAUGGACUCGCGUCUGAUUAGCUAGUUGGUGAGGUAGCGGCUCACCAAGGCGACGAUCAGUAGCCGAACUGAGAGGUUGAUCGGCCACAUUGGGACUGAGACACGGCCCAG
rnacentral:rRNA from 1 species